UACCUCUGUAAGUACAGGACCUCUUUCUCUAUUCCUAAUAUGGUGUAAACUGUUAUUCAGAAAAGUGUUGGACGAAGACCUCUAUUAAACCUCUGGCUUUAGGGUGAUGCUGUUAUGACGCCAAGGAACUAUCAGUCUCCCUGAGGAACAGUUUUUUCAUAGCCUCUUGAUUUGACUCUAAAGCAGAAAAGCUCCACCUAAAGCCAAAGGUUUUUUGAAUCAAUUUAAUGAAAAAACCCAAAGUAUACGUGCUCGUACCAGUAACUGCUUUUUUGGUCAGCAGUAUUGACCAGAAGACCUGCAGCAACAGAGGACCUUCUUUCCAGUUGAAAUGACUGUCUCAGCAGCCAGCCAGGAAAUUUGUUUCUGGAUGGAUUCAAUUACACAUUCCUUAAGGUUAACCACAGACAGCAUGUUUACCUAACUGCACAAUCUAUGAGGUCUGUAAUCUGGAAGCAAAUGGAGCAUUUACAGUGCUCCAGGAAGAUGACAUGGAGGCCAGGGAAACCCACUGUGAUUUUGGUUUCCAGGCAAGAUGUGAGAUCCUAUUUCUUUGUUGAUAUGAAUGAUACUUCUGUGCGCAAGAACAAUUGUACCUGAACUUUAGCUGAUGCUCUCCUGCAACACGCGUGGACAUGAAGAAGUAAAAGAGGUGCUUUGAAUGGUGCUCACUGUCAUUACAUUUAAAAAGACAUGCCACUUGCAGCUUGUGUCAAUGUAAGUGAUACUCCAUCAACACACUUUACCAAUCUGAAUGGAUAAUCACUGAAGCGCUUGGAGGACACAUGCAGAUCUGUCUGGAAAUUACCAUCACUACUGCCUUGUGCUCAUGUGUUUGUACUCAUAACUUGUUUUCAGGAUGCACUCUGGAUUUAUGGUUGCAGCAUAUAUUCCCUUUGCUUGAGGACAGAGUUCAGAUAUAGUGCUUGCUAAAGUAGAUGAGCAAGUUUGGAGCUAGAUACCUAUUUAGCAGUUCUUUCUGGCAUAUCACUGAGACUGUUUAACUAUUUUUAAAACUCUUUGCUAACCGUGAUAAGCAAGUGCUCUGUCCUGAACUCCUGUAGAGUACUGAUGCUUGCUCUACCUAGCAAUAUAUUUUGACAAAAUGACAAUUUAAGAGAGUGCUGCUUGUAAUUCAAGGAAAAUUCCAAUUUCAUUGCUGCAAUCUAGGUUCUGCCUUUCUCAAGUCCCAUAUGUUUGCCAUGCCUCUUUUCGUCAUGUCGUGAUCCAACUUUCUGUUCACUGUAUUAGUCUUGAACAGUUUUUAACUUUCAAUAUUAGUGGAGCUACUCGUGGAGAAAAAUGCUAUCUAUCAUGUCAAAGAGGAGCAGAAUCUGGACUUUUGACUGAAAAGUCCUCUCUGCUUUUAUUUCUCUAUAGUGAUUCUUAGAAAUCCAAUGCAGCGGACUAAAUUAAACUAUCCAGAAUAAAUUAUACGAAGGUCAAUUUUUGGCAAGAAGCAAUGUGUUUGAAAUGCUAAUUCUAUUUCUAUGCAUAAUUGCACAAAAUAUUUCAGAAGUGAGAUGUUUAAAAAAAUUCAUGCAACCUUUCCCUUGGAAAUGUAUGUCAGUGGCUGAGAUGGUUACCCAAAACAGAAGAAAGAUGUUCUUUAUCAUGCUGGAAAACAAACGGAUUUCUUCUGAGGGACACAGAUGGUGUAUGUAUUGAGACACAGCAUGUCAUACUGCCUCUCCUGUUAUUCUGUUCUUGUGGUUUCAUCAUGGGAAGUAAACCGUUCUAUAAUUCCUACCUUGUUCUUCACUUCUCAUGCUGUGAAAAACCUGCACAUGGACUCUAGCUGAGGACUUACAUGAUGAAGAAAUCUAGAAAAGGAAAGAAGAAAAAGACUCCAGUAGAAUUUUGGGCUCCAUCCUGGAUUCUGUGAUAACUCCUUGUGCAAGUCUAAGAUGGUAAAGGGCUCUAGGACAGUAAAAGAAGAGUUACUGGCAGAGGAGAACAAGAGCCAGGACUCUCAAAGGAAGCCCUCUCUAAAAAUCCCAUCAGCAGGAUUAAAGUAGCAUACUGGAAGUUGGCUGUGGAGCAGGCAAAGCAGCACAAGCAUGGCUGGAAGAAGGGCUUGGAUCCAGGCUUGGAGGCAGUGUACAGGGGCUAACAAUAGAGUACAAGGUUGGGUAGCCCUUGAACAGGAAGUUUUAUGAUGUGGUUCAAUGAAGCAGAGAAAAAGACUGGGUAGAACAAUCUUCAACCUGAUGGGAAAUGGAGUCAAUGCAAGAUUAAGUGAUUUGACGUCACCAGGGUCAUCCAGGCAACCUGUGGCAGCUAUUGGCAUUGAAUUGCUGCCUCCUGACUGCCAAGCUUAAUGGCAGAACCAUUUUUCUUUCCAUGAUACCUUCGCUCUUCUUACUCUUUCACAUUUUGAUCUGCAGAUUAGACAGACAGGUUGCUGUGGCGACGACACGGAGGAGGUCUCCUGCACACCUGCACCGCAAACAGGGAGUCCUGCCAACACAGACUUAAGGAAUCCUGAAGGCAUCUUUUUUUUAUUCUUCUUUUUUUUUUUUCUUCCUAUGUGGAGUGCACAAGAGAGGGGAGAAGGCAAAAAAAUAGUAGGAGAUGGCAAACGAGGGAGAGGGGAGAGAUGAAGGAAAAGCCAAUCGAUAUUCAAUCAGCUUAGCUGAGCAGCAGUGCUUGUUUGUUGCAAAAUGGAAUGUGCACAAACAACAUGCAUAGGCUGUCCAUAGUAACAGUCUGAGCAAGCUGCCCUUACGAGAGAGAAAAGAACAAGUGUUAUUUUGGUUUUGCCUACUGAGUGUCCUGCAUUUCAUGAUGUCUCUGGGGGAAACUAGAAAAAAGUAACUAUGGAAAUGGCAGAACUCAGGCACAAGACGUGGAGAGGUAAAUGGGUUGUGUAAAGCUGGAAACUGAAGUUACUCGUUUGUAUCUGGCUAGGGAAGAUCUGUUUGUGUUUGUGUGAACAUACAGAUGUAAGAUUUCAUUUCUGAGAGGAAUCCUGCCUUUAGAAAAAGAGCUGCAGAGUGGUGUGAAAAUUGACAUUAUAUGCCUACUCCUUUGCUAAAAGAAAGUAUCCAGAAGGAGGUGGAUGUGGGAAGGAGAAGUAAAGAAAAAAAAAGAAAAUCCUUAUAACCAGGAGGUCCUCAAAACAAACCUUUUGCUCUGGGAUGCCAUGGCAUUUCUCCAGCUUCUCCCAAUGAAGUAGUGAGUUCCAUGGAGAUUCACUGUCCUUGCCUCACCUCUGCUGGAUAUCCCUCUGUCUCCUCCAAGGCUGUCUCCCUUCUCUUCCCCUUGUCCUUUUUCUCCCACCUAUCCCUUUAGAAUCCCUUUCGGUAAUUUUUCACAUCAUCUUUUCCCAGCUUCUAAAAUGACUGUUUGCAUGCCUGCAGCACUAUCCAGUGUACAUACAAACAACAGUUUAACUAAGAUAAAAAAGUGUGUGUGUAGGAACAGGUAGUUGAAUGUACAGAUGAGUCUUUUUUUUUUCUAGAUAUGUCAAAGUGUGUCUGUGUCAUAGACUUAUUUCUCUGCUCUGGCUGUGUCUCUUGUCACUGAAAUGAUGAAGGCUCCCACCUUCAUAAUGGAGAUGUUUGAUAAUAGAAAAAAAAAUAUUAAAGUUUCCAACUGAUAAAGUUAACAAACAAUUGGAACCUGCACUAUAAACUGUGAGAGAAGUGGGAGAGGUGGAGAUGUGAAGGGGGAAGAGACUUUAAUCAGUCUCUGGUUCUUGGAUGCAUCAGAUGUCAGGAGUAUUGCCUAGCCCGCCAGGAAAAAGAGCACGUUGCUGUUCUCAUCACUGCCCCCUUGUCCAGUUGUUUUUUCCAGGCACAGAAUUUCCUGUAACUGGAGAAAGGUGCAAGAGAGAGUUUUCUUCAGACACAGCAAGACCAGGAGUAUGCCAUACUUACUACUGCACUCUUCUGGGGCAGCUACAACUCUGAAACACAUGCUAGCAUUCUGGACUUGGAAAAACAGAAAAGGAAAAAUACAAAGGCAAGAAAAUAACUCCAAGAUCUCAGCAGCUUAGCUAUCCCACCAUCUGUUUAAAAGGACAAAACAUUAAAACAGAACAAAACUUGUGGUCCAACAGCUAUGUCUGCAAAGAAGAAACAGUGCUAUAGUUGAAAUUCUAUGCAGCACCCUUUGGAUCAAAAUAUUGCGACAACAACGAAUAGAAAUGACCACAUUUAAUGGAUACUCAAACAGCUAGGCCAUGACUCAGAUUCCUUACUGUUGUUUGGAAGUGAAACCUGAGAGCUGAGAAGAGAGAGGGGAAGAAACCUUGUGUUAAACUGGCAUGCACCAGUGAAUAAAUGGCUGGCAUUUGCAAAGCUGCAUUGCAGGGGAGCUUUUAACAGUUUGCUGCUGCCAGCUGAUGUCUUUCUAAGCAUCACUGCCAAGAAGCCAAAACUGGAAGCAGGUGCAGGGGCAGAGGAACUGAAUGUGGAAAGGGAGAAAAAAAAAAAAGAGAAAGAACAGAACUUCUGUUGUUAAAAUUCUGUUGCUUUCAUUAAAACCUAAACAAAGCUUUACUUUAAA